CCUACGGGGGGCAGCAGUGGGGAAUAUUGCACAAUGGGGGAAACCCUGAUGCAGCGACGCCGCGUGGGUGACGAAGUAUUUCGGUAUGUAAAGCCCUAUCAGCAGGGAAGAAGAUGACAGUACCUGACUAAGAAGCCCCGGCUAACUACGUGCCAGCAGCCGCGGUAAUACGUAGGGGGCAAGCGUUAUCCGGAUUUACUGGGUGUAAAGGGAGCGUAGGUGGCAUGGCAAGCCAGAAGUGAAAACCCGGGGCUUAACCCCGCGGAUUGCUUUUGGAACUGUCAGGCUGGAGUGCAGGAGAGGUAAGUGGAAUUCCUAGUGUAGCGGUGAAAUGCGUAGAUAUUAGGAGGAACACCAGUGGCGAAGGCGGCUUACUGGACUGUAACUGACGUUGAGGCUCGAAAGCGUGGGGAGCAAACAGGAUUAGAUACCCUGGUAGUC
rnacentral:rRNA from 1 species